GACGAACGCUGGCGGCGUGCCUAAUACAUGCGAGUUGAGCGAUGAAGAUUGGUGCUUGCACCAAUUUGAAGAGCAGCGAACGGGUGAGUAACGCGUGGGGAAUCUGCCUUUGAGCGGGGGACAACAUUUGGAAACGAAUGCUAAUACCGCAUAACAACUUUAAACAUAAGUUUUAAGUUUGAAAGAUGCAAUUGCAUCACUCAAAGAUGAUCCCGCGUUGUAUUAGCUAGUUGGUGAGGUAAAGGCUCACCAAGGCGAUGAUACAUAGCCGACCUGAGAGGGUGAUCGGCCACAUUGGGACUGAGACACGGCCCAAACUCCUACGGGAGGCAGCAGUAGGGAAUCUUCGGCAAUGGACGAAAGUCUGACCGAGCAACGCCGCGGGAGUGAAGAAGGUUUUCGGAUCGUAAAACUCUGUUGGUAGAGAAGAACGUUGGUGAGAGUGGAAAGCUCAUCAAGUGACGGUAACUACACAGAAAGGGACGGCUAACUACGUG
rnacentral:rRNA from 1 species